CCUGGUCAAGGAAGCAGGCAAGGCCCAGGCCGCUGCCUGAUUCAACGAGGGGCCGCAUCGCAAGAUGCGGCCCUUUACACAUA
rnacentral:sRNA from 1 species